CCUACGGGUGGCAGCAGUGAGGAAUAUUGGUCAAUGGCCGUAAGGCUGAACCAGCCAAGUAGCGUGAGGGAAGACUGCCCUAUGGGUUGUAAACCUCUUUUAUGCGGGGAUAAAGGUGUCCACGUGUGGAUGUUUGCAGGUACCGCAUGAAUAAGGACCGGCUAAUUCCGUGCCAGCAGCCGCGGUAAUACGGAAGGUCCGGGCGUUAUCCGGAUUUAGUGGGUUUUAAGGGAGCGUAGGCCGGUCUUUAAGCGUGCCGCGAAAUUUUGUGGCUCAACCAUGAGAGUGCGGCGCGAACUGGAGACCGUGAGUGCGCGGAAGGCAGGCGGAAUUCGUGGUGUAGCGGUGAAAUGCUUAGAUAUCACGAAGAACCCCGAUUGCGAAGGCAGCCUGCCGCAGCGUUACUGACGCUGAAGCGCGAAAGCGCGGGUAUCGAACAGGAUUAGAUACCCCAGUAGUC
rnacentral:rRNA from 1 species